rnacentral:lncRNA from 1 species
CUGAAAACUUCCUGAAGACUCCGCUGCACACUGCAGGCCAAGAGAAAAGGAAAAUGAAGUCUCCAGUAGGUCAGAUAACUACCAAUGCCACACGGCUGAUGACAGCAGAACUGGCUUCCAGGAUUGGCUACCGUUUCUGAAGUCCACAUACUUGCCAAUUUGUCCAAAAGGAGCCACAGACAGGUCUGCAGAGGGACAUUGACGGGAAUGAAGUGUCCCCUCCUGGAGUACCCCUGGGCGCCAGCCUUAACAAUGCUGACUGGGCUUUCAGACUCCAUCUGCGGAGCCACACCCAGGAGUGCAACGGGGUAGAGAGGCAGGAAAACCUCUGGGACCCCCUGACAGCUGCAGCAAUGGAGCCG